UACAGAGGUCUCAAGCGUUGUUCGGAUUCAUUGGGCGUAAAGGGUGCGUAGGCGGCGCGGUAAGUCGGGUGUGAAAUCUUGGAGCUUAACUCCGAAACUGCAUUCGAUACUGCCGUGCUUGAGGACUGGAGAGGAGACUGGAAUUUACGGUGUAGCGGUGAAAUGCGUAGAUAUCGUAAGGAACACCGGUGGCGAAGGCGGGUCUCUGGGCCGAUACUGACGCUGGAGGAGCGAAAGCGUGGGGAGCGAACAGG
rnacentral:rRNA from 1 species